UACGGAGGGUGCAAGCGUUAUCCGGAUUCACUGGGUUUAAAGGGUGCGUAGGCGGGUAAGUAAGGACGUGGUGAAAUCUCUGAGCUUAACUCAGAAACUGCCGUGGAUACUAUUUGCCUUGAAUAUUGUGGAGGUGAGCGGAAUAUGUCAUGUAGCGGUGAAAUGCUUAGAUAUGACAUAGAACACCAAUUGCGAAGGCGGCUCACUACACAAUCAUUGACGCUGAGGCACGAAAGCGUGGGGAUCAAACAGG
rnacentral:rRNA from 1 species